CAAAGACCUGGGAGUGAUUAUGUCGGAGGAUCUCACCUUCAAGGACCAUAACAUUGUAUCAAUCGCAUCUGCUAGAAAAAUGACAGGAUGGAUAAUGAGAACCUUCAAAACUAGGGAGGCCAAGCCCAUGAUGACACUCUUCAGGUCACUUGUUCUAUCUAGGCUGGAAUAUUGCUGCACUCUAACAGCACCUUUCAAGGCAGGUGAAAUUGCCGACCUAGAAAAUGUACAGAGAACUUUCACGGCGCGCAUAACGGAGAUAAAACACCUCAAUUACUGGGAGCGCUUGAGGUUUCUAAACCUGUAUUCCCUGGAACGCAGGAGGGAGAGAUACAUGAUUAUAUACACCUGGAAAAUCCUAGAGGGACUAGUACCGAACUUGCACACGAAAAUCACUCACUACGAAAGCAAAAGACUUGGCAGACGAUGCACCAUCCCCCAAUGAAAAGCAGGGGUGUCACUAGCACGUUAAGAGACCAUACAAUAAGUGUCAGGGGCCCGAGACUGUUCAACUGCCUCCCAGCACACAUAAGGGGGAUUACCAACAGACCCCUGGCAGUCUUCAAGCUGGCACUGGACAAGCACCUAAAGUCAGUUCCUGAUCAGCCGGGCUGUGGCUCGUACGUUGGUUUGCGUGCAGCCAGCAGCAACAGCCUGGUUGAUCAGGCGCUGAUCCACCAGGAGGCCUGGUCACAGACCGGGCCGCGGGGGCGUUGACCCCCGAAACUCUCUCCAGGUCAAUGGCGCCAUUUAGCCAUGGAGGUCAAGAAUAGUGGCGCCACUAGUCACUCCUCUGCCAUCCACCACACCAUCAACACCUCCAGCUCCAUCAACCUCCGCUUUACAGACAUUGUUUUGGCGAGUUGCUGCUCUUGGUGACAUCUCUGAAGACUUCCAGCUGCCCACGACACGGCCUUCACCACACAGCAGCUGCCCACGACACGGCCUUCACCACACAGCAGCUGCCCACGACACGGCCUUCACCACACAGCAGCUGCCCACGACACGGCCUUCACCACACAGCAGCUGCCCACGACACGGCCUUCACCACACAGCAGCUGCCCACGACACGGCCUUCACCACACAGCAGCUGCCCACAGCAUGAAGAAUAUCUUCAACCUACGAGAUUUGA